CCUACGGGGAGCUGCAGUGAGGAAUAUUGGUCAAUGGUCGGGAGACUGAACCAGCCAAGCCGCGUGAGGGAUGAAGGUACAGAGUAUCGUAAACCUCUUUUGUCAGGGAACAAAGGCGGGGACGUGUCCCCGGAUGAGUGUACCUGAAGAAAAAGCAUCGGCUAACUCCGUGCCAGCAGCCGCGGUAAUACGGAGGAUGCGAGCGUUAUCCGGAUUUAUUGGGUUUAAAGGGUGCGCAGGCGGGAUGUUAAGUCAGCGGGAAAAGCCCGGGGCUCAACCCCGGCCCGCCGUUGAAACUGGCAGUCUCGAGUUGGAGAGAAGUAUGCGGAAUGCGCGGUGUAGCGGUGAAAUGCAUAGAUAUCGCGCAGAACUCCGAUUGCGAAGGCAGCAUGCCGGCUCCACACUGACGCUGAGGCACGAAAGCGUGGGUAUCGAACAGGAUUAGAUACCCUUGUAGUC
rnacentral:rRNA from 1 species